UACAGAGGUCCCAAGCGUUGUUCGGAUUCACUGGGCGUAAAGCGUUUGUAGGCGGCCCUGUAAGUCGGGUGUGAAAUCCCACGGCUCAACCGUGGAAGUGCAUUCGAAACUGCAGGGCUUGAAUAUGGAAGAGGAGAGUAGAAUUCCAGGUGUAGUGGUGAAAUACGUAGAUAUCUGGAGGAAUACCGGUGGCGAAGGCGGCUCUCUGGUCCAAUAUUGACGCUGAGAAACGAAAGUGCGGGGAUCAAACAGG
rnacentral:rRNA from 1 species